rnacentral:lncRNA from 1 species
UUUAGGAUUUAGGAUUUGAUUUAAAGUUUAGAAUUUGGUUAGGAUUUGAUUUAGGAUUUAGGGUUUGGUUAAGAUUUUAUUUAGAUUUAGGACUUGGUUUAGGAUUUAGGGUUUGGUUUAGGGUUUAGGAUUUAGUUAGGAUUUGAUUUAGGAUUUUGGUUUAAGAUUUAAGAUUUGAUUAGGAUUUGGUUUAGAAUUUAGAAUUUGGUUAGGAUUUGAUUUAGGGUUAGGAUUUAAUUAGGGUUUGAUUUAAGGUUAGAGUUUGGUUAUGAUUUGAUUUAGGAUUAGGAUUUGGUUAGGAUUUGGUUUAGGAUUUAGGGUUUGGUUAAGGUUUGAUUUAGAGUUGAAGUUUUGGUCAGGAUUUGAUUUAGGAUUUAGGAUUUUAUUUGAAUUUAUUUAGAAUUUAAGAUUUAGUUAGUUUUUGGCCUAAAGUUUGAAUGAAGUCCAAUAGGAUUUCAACUAGGAUUAAAUUAAGAUUGAAUUGAGAUGUAUUUGAGAUAUAUUUGUAAUCAUUCUAAUAUUUCUUUAAGAUUUUUUAUUCUUUCUUUGUAAUUCCUUUGAGGUUUCUUUGAAUUUGAUUAAAGCUUGUUUAGCAUUAUUAGUAUUCUAUUAUAAUUAGGAUUUUGUUGUAGCAAUUUCUAUUCUACCUUCCACAGCCAAGUACCUACAACAUUCUUAAAUAAGACUUCACGUAUUAUAAUAGCAUACAUAUAAAAAACUUACUUUUCAUACUAAAAUAUAUUGUUGUAUUAUAUAAAGUCUUGCUCAAGAAUGCAUCAAGUACUUAGUUGUGGAAGGUAGAAUGGAAAUUGCUACAACAAAAUCCUAACUCUAAUAGAAUACUAAAUAAAUUCUAAUUAAAAAUUAAAAAUAUUAAACAAGCUUUAAUUAAAUUCAAAAGAAACUUUAAUGAAAUUAUAAUAGAAAUAAUAAGAAAACUUAAAGGAUUUGAAAGAAAAUCCACAACAAAUCUUAAAAGAAUCCUUAGGAAAUCUUAAAAAAUAAUAAAAUAAUGACAAAUAUAUCUUAAGUAAAUCUCAACUAAGUUCUAAUUUAAUCAUCAUUGAAAUCCUAAUGAACUUCAAUCAAAUCCUUAGAAAAACCUUAAAUCUUAAAUUAAAUUCUAGACAAAUCCUAAAUCCUAAACCAAAUCCAUGACCAACUCUAAAUCCUAAACCAAAUUCUAAACCAAGUCUAAAUCUUAGAACAAAUUCUAGAUAAAUCCUAAAUCUUAGAUCAAAUCUUAGAAAAAUCCUAAAUCCUUAACUAAAUCCUAGACAAAUUCUAAAUCCUUAAUCAAACCUUAGACAAACUCUAAAUUCUAAAUUAAAUCCUAGACAAAUCCUAAAGUUUAAAUCAAACCCUAAACAAAUCCUAUAUCUUAAAUCAAAUCCUAGACAAACCUUAAAUCUUAAAUCAAAUCUUAAACAAAUCCUAAAUCUAAAAUCCUAAACCAAAUCUUAGACAAAUCUAAAAUCCUAAACCAAAUCUUAGACAAAUCCGAAAUCCUAAACCAAAUCUUAGACAAAUCCUAAAUCCUAAACCAAAU